rnacentral:rRNA from 1 species
AACAAACGCUGGCGGCGUGCCUAAUACAUGCAAGUCGAACGAGGAAAGCUUUCGGGUGAGUACUAGUGGCGCACGGGUGAGGAAUAUAUGGGUAAUCUGCCCUCGAGUUGGGGAUAACCAGUCGAAAGACUGGCUAAUACCGAAUAAGACCACAGGAUCUGCGGAUCUAGGGGUUAAAGGUUUUUCGCUUGAGGAUGAGCCCAUACGGGAUUAGCUAGUUGGCGAGGUAAUGGCUCACCAAGGCUACGAUCCCUAACUGGUCUUAGAGGAUGAUCAGUCACACUGGAACUGAGUCACGGUCCAGACUCCUACGGGAGGCAGCAGUAGGGAAUAUUGCACAAUGGGGGAAACCCUGAUGCAGCGGCGCCGCGUGAGUGAUGAAGGCCUUCGGGUCGUAAAGCUCUGUCGUAUGGGACUAACACAAUGAAGGUACCAUGCAAGAAAGGAUCGGCUAACUUCGUGCCAGCAGCCGCGGUAA